UUAGGGAAUUUUGACAAUGGGCGCAAGCCUGAUCGAGUGACGCCGCGUGUGGGACGACGCCUUUCGGGGUGUAAACCACUUUUCUCGGGGACGAGAACGGACGGUACCCGAGGAAUAAGCCCCGGCUAACUACGUGCCAGCAGCCGCGGUAAUACGUAGGGGGCGAGCGUUGUCCGGAAUUACUGGGCGUAAAGAGCGCGUAGGCGGCCCGCCGCGUCGGUCGUGAAAGCUCCCGGCUCACCCGGGAGAGGGCGACCGAAACGGGCGGGCUUUGAGGGCGGUAGGGGCUGGCGGAACGCCCGGAGUAGCGGUGAAAUGCGUUGAGAUCGGGCAGAACACCAGUGGCGAAGGCGGCCGGCUGGGCCGACCCUGACGCUGAGGCGCGAAAGCUAGGGGAGCGAACGGAAUUAGAUACCCCCGUAGUCC
rnacentral:rRNA from 1 species